CACAUGUGCAGUGUGGAAGUUUGAUCAUCCGCCAUUUUCAACUGAGAUUUGCAUGUGCUUAGUAUCCUGGAUAGAAUCCAUCGCCAUCUGAGGAUUAUUUGGUGAGACUUGCCUACUAAGACUGAUAGUUUUAAAAUUACUCCCAACAUCUACCGCACCUGCUGCCUGACAUCAGUAAUGACCGCCGGGAGCGCCAGCGAUCCUGUAGUUUGAAGAAUGAAAUGUUGGUUAGCUAGUUCUGUCUCUCAAUAGAUGCAACAAAAGUGGCUCAGAUGUGGUUGUUUUAAAUAUGGAAGUGCAGACAGUGUGCUGAAAGUGUUUUGACAAGCUCAGCUUUCAGACAUCCAGAAGCUCGAAGUGAAAUCAGGAGUCUUUGACCGCGGGACCAAGGAGGUUCAUC